rnacentral:lncRNA from 1 species
UGUCUCUGACAUUAUUUGCUGAUACGUCCAAAUUGAAAUGUCACAUGGAAAUGGUGCAAUUUUUGCCUUAGCUAUGAGUGAGCAUGUCUGUCAGAUGCUUUCCUCUUGUCCUCAAUAGUUCACAUACAAGCAAAACCAAAGACUUACAAGUUGGGGAACCUGCUAUCAGCCUUCUGAGCACGAUGCCAUGACACACAAUAAAUUCUUUAGCAACCAGCUGUGCUAGAAAUGCCUUUUUCAGCCGCCUCAUCAAGAAGUUCCCAAGUGUAGCUUACUUAGUUAUUUUUUUCUGAAGGCCGUAACCACGUUAGAGCAGAAGCACAGGGCACUAUGCUGCUUCACAUGACUAAGCAGAAAUAAGCAUGCCUCUUUCCCAAAAUCUCUGGCAGGGCAGAGGAAAAAGCAGCAGCUGCUGGGCCACUAGUACUCAGUAGCCACCACUGAGUACAUGGAAGACAGCAGGAGACAUUAUUUCCUUGGUGUACCACUUUGAAAUGCCUUGUGUAGCACUAACAGGUCAGGGCUUGCGUUCAGAAAUCCACAGUUUAAUUUACAGCUUACACCACAAGAGCCCCUGUAAGCCCUGAACUUGAACAGAGUCAUAAGAUAUCCCAACUCUUUCACAGUCCAGUUAAAUGACUUAUAGAGAAAACCCAGAUCCCAAAUCCAGAUACCAAACAGAAAGCAAAAAUCAGCAGCACAGCCAGGGAUAGGAACCCGUUUCCCCAGAUGCUGGGCAACCCGCGGUCACUAUAAGUGGUCAUAGGGCCUCUGCAUUCAGCUUGCAUGGACCAAUCUCUACAGGACUUCAUACUGGAGCAUCAACGAGCUGUCAUCAAGUGUUUACAGCUUCAAGCAGACAUGUGCAAGAAGACAGUGGGAACCGAAAAGGAAAUCUGAUAUUCCACACAGUCUGAAUGGAAGAAUUCUGCUGUGGUAUGCCUUUAGAUAGGGCUUUUAUGGUUAACCUUCAAAAAUCUCUCACUUUCUCCCCACUUCUUAU